AUUGAACACUGGCGGCAGGCCUAACACAUGCAAGUCGAGCGGAAGCACAGAGAGCUUGCUCUCGGGUGACGAGCGGCGGACGGGUGAGUAAUGUCUGGGAAACUGCCUGAUGGAGGGGGAUAACUACUGGAAACGGUAGCUAAUACCGCAUAACGUCGCAAGACCAAAGUGGGGGACCUUCGGGCCUCAUGCCAUCAGAUGUGCCCAGAUGGGAUUAGCUGGUAGGUGGGGUAACGGCUCACCUAGGCGACGAUCCCUAGCUGGUCUGAGAGGAUGACCAGCCACACUGGAACUGAGACACGGUCCAGACUCCUACGGGAGGCAGCAGUGGGGAAUAUUGCACAAUGGGCGCAAGCCUGAUGCAGCCAUGCCGCGUGUGUGAAGAAGGCCUUCGGGUUGUAAAGCACUUUCAGCGGGGAGGAAGGCAUUAAGGUUAAUAACCUUAGUGAUUGACGUUACCCGCAGAAGAAGCACCGGCUAACUCCGUGCCAGCAGCCGCUGUAACAC
rnacentral:rRNA from 1 species